rnacentral:rRNA from 1 species
UACGGAGGGUGCAAACGUUGCUCGGAAUCAUUGGGCGUAAAGCGCACGUAGGCGGCCUGUUAAGUCGGGUGUGAAAGCCCUGGGCUCAACCCAGGAAGUGCACUCGAAACUGGCGGGCUUGAAUAUGGAAGAGGGUCGCGGAAUUCCCGGUGUAGAGGUGAAAUUCGUAGAUAUCGGGAGGAACACCAGUGGCGAAGGCGGCGACCUGGGCAGAUACUGACACUGAGGUGCGAAAGCGUGGGGAGCAAACAGG